AUUGAACGCUGGCGGCAGGCGUAACACAUGCCAGUCGAGCGGAUGAGUGGAGCUUGCUUCAUGAUUCAGCGGCGGACGGGGGAGUAAUGCCUAGGCAGCUGCCUGGUAGUGGGGGACAACGUAUCGAAAGGAACGCUAAUACCGCAGACGUCCUACGGGAGAAGGUGGGGGCUCCGCUGAGCUCACGCUGUCAGAUGAGCCUAGGUGGGAUUGGCUAGUUGGUGAGGUAAAGGCUCACCAAGGCGACGAUCCGUAACUGGUCUGAGAGGAUGAUCAGUCACACUGGAACUGAGACACGGUCCAGACUCCUACGGGAGGCAGCAGUGGGGAAUAUUGGACAAUGGGCGAAAGCCUGAUCCAGCCAUGCCGCGUGUGUGAAGAAGGUCUUCGGAUUGUAAAGCACUUUCAGUUGGGAGGAAGGGCAGUAAGUUAAUACCUUGCUGUUUUGACGUUACCCACAGAAUAAGCACCGGCUAACUUCGUGCCAGCCGCCGCCGUAAGAC
rnacentral:rRNA from 1 species